GGUUAUCAGCUGUGCCUCCCUCUUAGAGGUCCUCGGAGUCCAGAGUCCUCGAAGGGAAAUCUGACACAAAGAAGCAGGUGUGAGACCGGCCCCUUUCUCCCAUGCCUUAGACAGGGCUCCAGGGACUGCUUCAGGGGAGAUGUCAGAGGGCAGCAGGGACCGGGAAGGGAGGAAGAAAGCAGAGUGACAGUGAGAGGUGGGAAAACUACAAGAGGAAUUGUUUGUACGCUUGGAUCUGGACUUUUAGAACUGGUCAGGACCUGACAGAUCCUCCAGCCCAGUUCUCCCGGCUCUCAAACACUGGCAUCAUUUAUAAUUCCCUGGAAAAUCACCAGCAGGUAAAUGAAGGAGAAAAGAAAAGAACAAAAUCCACCGGGAACCAGAGACUUCCAGGCUCCAAAGACAGGCAAUCUCCACCAGGAAAGACGGGUUUCGCCGUGUUGGCCGAGCUGGUCUCCAGCUCCCGACCGCGAGUGAUCUGCCCGCUUCGGCCUCCCGAGGUGCCGGGAGUGCAGACGGAGUCUCGCUCACUCAGUGCUCAGUCUUGCCGGGGCUGGAGUGCAGUGGCGUGAUCUCGGCUCGCUACAACCUCCACCUCCCAGCUGCCUGCCUUGGCCUCCCAAAGUGCUGAGAUUGCAGCCUCUGCCCAGCCGCCACCCCGUCUGGGAAGUGAGGAGCGUCUCUGCCUGGCCGUCCAUCAUCUGAGAUGUGAGGAGCCCCUCUGCCUGGCAGCCCAGUCGGGGAAGUGAGGAGCACCUCUUCCCGGCCGCCAUCCCAUCUAGGAAGUGAGGAGCGUCUCUGCCCUGCCGCCCAUCGUCUGAGAUGUGGGGAGCGCCGCUGCCCCGCCGCCCCGCCGCCCCGUCUGGGAUAUGAGGAGCACCUCUGUCUGGCCGCGACCCCGUCUGGGAACUGAGGAGUGUCUCUGCCCGACCGCCACCCCGUCUGGGAGGUGAGGAGCGUCUCUGCCCGGCCACCCCGUCUGAGAAGUGAGGAGCCCCUCCGCCCGGCAGCUGCCCCGUCUGGGAAGUGAGGAGCCCCUCUGCCCUGCAGCCGCCCAGUCUGGGAAGUGAGGAGCGUCUCCGCCCAGCAGCCGCCCCGUCUGGGAGGGAGGUGGGGGGCAGCCCCCGCCCGGCCAGCUGCCCCAUCUGGGAGGUGAGGGGCGCCUCUGCCCGGCCGCCCCGUCUGGGAAGUGAAGAGCCCCUCUGCCCGGCUGCCACCCCGUCUGGGAGGUGUACCCAACAGCUCAUUGAGAACGGGCCAUGAUGACGAUGGCGGUUUUGUCGAAUAGAAAAGGGGGAAAUGUGGGGAAAAGAGAGAUCAGAUUGUUACUGUGUCUGUGUGGAAAGAAGUAGACAUGGGAGACUCCAUUUUGUUCUGUACUAAGAAAAUUCUUCUGCCUUGGGAUGCUGUUAAUCUAUAACCUUACCCCCAACCCCGUGCUCUCUGAAACAUGUGCUGUGUCCACUCAGGGUUAAAUGG
rnacentral:lncRNA from 1 species